rnacentral:rRNA from 1 species
UGAUGAGGGUUUGAUCCUGGCUCAGGACGAACGCUGGCGGCGCGCCUUACGCAUGCAAGUCGCACGGACCUUCGGGUGAGUGGCAGACGGCUGAGUAACGCGUAGGUAACCUGUCCAGUGGUGGGGGAUAACCCUUCGAAAGAAG